UUGUGUGCGCCAAAGAAAGAAGGUACAAUGGGAUUUCGAGAUAUUCAUUGUUUCAACAUAGCCCUGCUUGGGAAACAGGCUUGGAGAUUAAUUGAUAAUCCAUAUUCCCUUUGUGCCCGUGUUUUCAAAGCCAAAUAUUAUCCAGAUUGUGAUAUUUUGAAUGCAACUCUGAAAAAGAGAUCCUCGUUCACAUGGCAAAGUACUAUGUCAGGGGUGCAGACACUAAAAAUAGGUCAUAUAUGGAGGAUCGGUGAUGGUAGUCAGAUCAAUGUUUGGGAUGAUGAAUGGAUCCCUAACUCAUCUACCAGAAAAGUGAUCACGUCUCGUGGAGGCAAUUUACUAUCAAAAGUAAGUAAUUUCAUUGACCCUGUUAUGGGUCGUUGGGAUGAAGAGUUGGUUUCUCAAACAUUCUGGGAAGUUGAUGUGGUGCGGAUCCUUGUGAUUCUGUUACCUGAAUUUGAAAUGUCAGACUUUGUAGCAUGGAACUUGGCAAAAAACAGGAUAUUCUCAAUGAGAUCGGCAUACUUUGUGGAGUGGCACAACCAAUAUGGACUUCAAAUAUCGGGAGAAAAUACAGUCGGACCCUAACGGAAUUCACUAAUAUGGGAGACGAUCUGGAGCUUAAGCUGUCCUGCCAAGGUUAAAAUAUUCCUCUGGCGAACUUUGUUAGGAUCGUUACCAUGUCCGGUGACUUUGGCUAACGAACAUAUAGAAGUCAGUAGGCAAUGUCCUACAUGCGGUAUAGGAGCCGAGGAUACCGAGCAUCUGUUAUUCACUUCUGCAAAAUCUAAAGAGGUAUGAUAGUUACUGGGUUUGGACUUUGUUAUUGAUAAAGCAUGCAAUGUGGAUCGUGUGAGAGAAUAUGUGCUAGAAUAUUUGUUGCUACAACCAGGUAAAGAAUGUGUGGUCCUCGGUUUGGGAAAAUCAACGGAAUCAAUUGCUAUUGGUUCCUGGUAUUUAUGGUGGGAGAGGAGAAAGUAA
rnacentral:rRNA from 1 species